GUUCAGACACCGUGUUAGCUAAUCUCAGCCUUUCCUGCCGAGACCCAAACCAGUUUCGUUGCCACAGGAAGUUUCUCCGUGUUUUGGAUUCUGGUGUCAAAGUGCGGACGGGACUGAGCUGAUGGGAGCCAUCGUGUUGUAGUUCAGUAGUCCCAAUUUGUUUUUCUUGUAUCUCCUUGUCUGUCUAUAUGUUACUACAGAUUCUGGUGUCAAAGUGCGGACGGGACUGAGCUGAUGGGAGCCAUCGUGUUGUAGUUCAGUAGUCCCAAUUUGGUAUAUUUUUUGUGCAUUGUGUCUUUAGUAUUUGUGUGUGGGCACCCCGUCUCGUGUCGGUGUUGAAGUUGAACUGAGACUUUAUUUCCGAAACGCGGGAUAUAGCCAUUUUGAACACUUGUGCCAAAUGCCUGCAUCGAAGCUAGUCCAAAUAGUUUUUUGCGUCAGCAAAAAUCUUGUUUUGAUGGGAGUCGGGUGGGAUUUAAAAAAAAAGAAGGUCAGAAAAUGGCGUUGGCUGCGUAUUGGAAAUGAAUGCUUGGCUUGAAUGUUAAAAUAAAGUUUGAGAUUGUGCAACGAUGUUUGAGCUUUGUGCACAACGUUCCCCAACCAUAAGCAGUCAUACAGGGUCAACACAGCAUCAACACACACAGAAGCGACAACACAGGUCAACACCACCAAAACGCAUUCAAAUUGACGAAACCAGUGUUCAAACCGUACAG